UACGGAGGGUGCAAACGUUGCUCGGAAUCACUGGGCGUAAAGCGCACGUAGGCGGCCUUGUAAGUUGGAUGUGAAAGCCCUGGGCUCAACCCAGGAAGUGCAUCCAAAACUGCAUGGCUUGAGUACCGGAGGGGUUCAGAGAAUUCCCGGUGUAGAGGUGAAAUUCGUAGAUAUCGGGAGGAAUACCAGUGGCGAAGGCGCUGAACUGGACGGUAACUGACGCUGAGGUGCGAAAGCGUGGGUAGCAAACAGG
rnacentral:rRNA from 3 species